rnacentral:misc_RNA from 1 species
CCAGGAGCACAGUCCAACCACCUCCGAUGGCAGAGCCUGACUACACAUCAUAUCUUUGCCUGCUUCGCGACUUCUGGGGAGAGUUCCGGUCUGUGCAGCGCCAGCAGACCCCAGGCCGAAUCCCUCGUCUCCUCAUGCACACCCAACGCGCCGCCCUGGUCGCGCUGUGUCACUACCCCAACAAGAAGAUGUCCUCGAAACCUGUGUACCGACGGAUCAACUGGAUCCUCCUAUUCAACCAGACUCUGAUGUUCAUUUCAAUGGUCUGUGGCGUGCACGAGUCCUCAAGUAUCAUCGACAUGGGUGACGACUUUGUGUGGCUCAUUGGGCUUGGUCUGAUCAGCACCAAGUCAUACUGCAUGCAUGCGCGGGCCACUGAGAUCGACGAGGUCAUAAGGGAUAUGGCCUACUACGACGAAGUGGUCAGGCCGAUUCAUGAUGAUGAGGAAAUUUUGAUGUGGCAGCGUUACUGCUACAUGGGAGAGGCGUACUUUGGCAUCGGGAUCUUCUCACUAGUGAACGCCUUUGGCCUGGCCAUUUUGUUACAGCCGCUGUUGGGCGAGGGCCGACUGCCGUACCAUUCGCUCCUGCCCUUCGGCUGGCAUCGGCAGGACCUCCAUCCGUGGACUUACCGGAUUGCCUUUGGGUGGCUGAGCGUCAAUUCGCUCCACAACUUGUCAACCAUUCUGUUUGUGGAUCUCCUGGGCAUCAGCACGAUUCUCCAGACGGCCCUCAAUCUCAAACUCCUCAGCAUUGAGCUCCGAAAGCUGGGGGAUCUGGGGUCCGUUAGCGAUAACCAGUUCCAUGUGGAGUUCUGUCGGGUGGUUCGCUACCACCAGCAUAUUAUCAGACUGGUGGACAAGAGCAAUCGUGCUUUCUACGUCACCUUCAUUGCCCAGAUGAUAGCCAGUUUCGCCAUGAUAUCGAUCUCCACCUUCGAGACCAUGGUAGCCGCUGCAGACGAUCCCAAGAUGGCCGCGAAAUUCGUGCUCUUUGUUAUGGUUGGAUUCGUCCAGUUGUCCGCUUGGUGCGUGGCCGGAAACCUCGUCCUCUAUCUGUCCGGGGAGGUCGGCCAGGCAGCGUUCGAAAUCUCAGACUGGCACACCAAGUCCGUGUCCAUUCAGCGCGACAUCGCCUUCAUCAUGCUACGCGCCCAAAAACCAUUAUUCUACGUGGCCAGACCUUUUAAGCCCUUAUCUCUGGGCACCUACAUGAUUGUGCUCAAGCAGUGCUAUAGACUACUGGCCUUACUGCGGGAGUCCAUGUAGUGGAUGUUUGGAAAAAUUAUAACCUGUUGCCCCUCCAUAAUUGGAAUUUGCAUGAGUAGUUCGUGCACCCUCUUCACCCGAAAGUUUCCCUUCCUUGACUUGACUCCUGGUAGAUUGUGUGUCACAGGGCGAAUUCGCAGGGAUUUUAUGACUCAAGUUGAUUGAACUCUUCUACGGUUAGAUGGUGUUCGGUUUGUCUAUA